rnacentral:rRNA from 1 species
CAGUAGCCGCGGUAAUACGUAGGUGGCAAGCGUUGUCCGGAAUUAUUGGGCGUAAAGAGCUCGCAGGCGGUUUCUUAAGUCUGAUGUGAAAGCCCCGGGCUCAACCGGGGAGGGUCAUUGGAAACUGGGAAACUAGAGUGCAGAAGAGGAGAGUGGAAUUCCACGUGUAGCGGUGAAAUGCGUAGAGAUGUGGAGGAACACCAGUGGCGAAGGCGACUCUCUGGUCUGUAACUGACGCUGAGGAGCGAAAGCGUGGGGAGCGAACAGGAUUAGAUACCCCAGUAGUCCCUGUCUCUUAUAA